GACGAACGCUGGCGGCGUGCUUAACACAUGCAAGUCGAACGGACAGACAGAGAGCUUGCUCUCUUGAAGUUAGUGGCGAACGGGUGAGUAACGCGUAAUCAACCUGCCCUUCAGAGGGGGAUAACAACGGGAAACCGUUGCUAAUACCGCGUACGAUUCAUGAACGGCAUCGUUUAUGAAUGAAAGGUGGCCUCUAUGUAUAAGCUAUCGCUGAAGGAGGGGAUUGCGUCUGAUUAGCUAGUUGGAGGGGUAACGGCCCACCAAGGCAAUGAUAGGUCGCCGGACGGAGAGGAUGAACGGCCACAUUGGGAAUGAGACACGGCCGCAACUCCUACGGGAGGAAGCAGUGGGGAAUCUUCCGCAAUGGACGAAAGUCUGACGGAGCAACGCCGCGUGAGUGAUGAAGGUCUUCGGAUUGUAAAGCUCUGUUAAUCGGGACGAAAGAGUUCUGCGUGAAUAAUGCAGAAAAGUGACGGUACCGGAAUAGAAAGCCACGGCUAACUACGUGCCAGCCGCCGCGGUAA
rnacentral:rRNA from 1 species